rnacentral:rRNA from 1 species
CAGUAGCCACGGUAACACAGAGGGUGCAAGCGUUAAUCGGAAUUACUGGGCGUAAAGCGCGCGUAGGUGGUUUGUUAAGUUGGAUGUGAAAGCCCCGGGCUCAACCUGGGAACUGCAUCCAAAACUGGCAAGCUAGAGUACGGUAGAGGGUGGUGGAAUUUCCUGUGUAGCGGUGAAAUGCGUAGAUAUAGGAAGGAACACCAGUGGCGAAGGCGACCACCUGGACUGAUACUGACACUGAGGUGCGAAAGCGUGGGGAGCAAACAGGAUUAGAUACCCGCGUAGUCCCUGUCUCUUAUAC